CGCAGCCGCGGUAAUUCCAGCUCCAAUAGCGUAUAUUAAAGUUGCUGCAGUUAAAAAGCUCGUAGUUGAAUUUCGGGAUCAUCAUGUCGGUCGUGCCUCGGUACGUACUGGCAUUGUUGGUUUCUACCUUCUGACGAACCAUGAUGUCAUUUAUUUGGUGUCGUGGGAAAUCAGGACUGUUACUUUGAAAAAAUUAGAGUGUUUAAAGCAGGCUCACGCUUGAAUACAUUAGCAUGGAAUAAUGAAAUAGGACGUUUGAUUCUAUUUUGUUGGUUUCUAGGAUCGACGUAAUGAUUAAUAGGGAUAGUUGGGGGCAUUAGUAUUCAAUUGUCAGAGGUGAAAUUCUUGGAUUUAUUGAAGACUAACUACUGCGAGAGCAUUUGCCAAGGAUGUUUUCAUUAAUCAAGAACGAAAGUUAGGGGAUCGAAGACGAUCAGAUACCGUCGUAGUCUUAACCAUAAACUAUGCCGACUAGGGAUCGGAUGAUGUUAAUUUUUUAAUGACUCAUUCGGCGCCUUAC
rnacentral:rRNA from 1 species